GAGUUUGAUCGUGGCUCAGAUUGAACGCUGGCGGCAUGCCUUACACAUGCAAGUCGAACGGCAGCAUGAUCUAGCUUGCUAGAUUGAUGGCGAGUGGCGAACGGGUGAGUAAUACAUCGGAACGUGCCCUGUAGUGGGGGAUAACUAGUCGAAAGAUUAGCUAAUACCGCAUACGACCUGAGGGUGAAAGUGGGGGACCGCAAGGCCUCAUGCUAUAGGAGCGGCCGAUGUCUGAUUAGCUAGUUGUGGGGUAAAGGCCCACCAAGGCGACGAUCAGUAGCUGGUCUGAGAGGACGAUCAGCCACACUGGGACUGAGACACGGCCCAGACUCCUACGGGAGGCAGCAGUGGGGAAUUUUGGACAAUGGGCGAAAGCCUGAUCCAGCAAUGACCGCGUGUGUGAAGAAGGCCUCGGUGUAAG
rnacentral:rRNA from 1 species